rnacentral:sRNA from 2 species
ACGCAGUACGUGUACAUUUCGGUUCUGAGUGUGCCAUGCACACCCACCCGACUACUGCUCUCUACAUUUGGUUGGCC